rnacentral:rRNA from 1 species
AUUGAACGCUGGCGGCAUGCCUUACACAUGCAAGUCGAACGGUAACAGGUCUUCGGAUGCUGACGAGUGGCGAACGGGUGAGUAAUACAUCGGAACGUGCCCAGACGUGGGGGAUAACGAGGCGAAAGCUUUGCUAAUACCGCAUACGAUCUAAGGAUGAAAGCAGGGGACCGCAAGGCCUUGUGCGUUUGGAGCGGCCGAUGGCAGAUUAGGUAGUUGGUGGGAUAAAAGCUUACCAGGCCGACGAUCUGUAGCUGGUCUGAGAGGACGACCAGCCACACUGGGACUGAGACACGGCCCAGACUCCUACGGGAGGCAGCAGUGGGGAAUUUUGGACAAUGGGCGAAAGCCUGAUCCAGCAAUGCCGCGUGCAGGAUGAAGGCCUUCGGGUUGUAAACUGCUUUUGUACGGAACGAAAAGGCUCUGGCUAAUACCUGGGGCACAUGACGGUACCGUAAGAAUAAGCACCGGCUAACUACGUG